rnacentral:misc_RNA from 1 species
GAUGAAGAACGCUGCGAAAUGCGAUAAGUAAUGUGAAUUGCAGAAUUCAGUGAAUCAUCGAAUCUUUGAACGCACAUUGCGCCCGCUAGUAUUCUGGCGGGCAUGCCUGUCCGAGCGUCAUUUCAACCCUCAAGCCCCCGGGCUUGGUGUUGGGGAUCGGCGAGCCUCCGCGCCCGCCGUCCCCUAAAUCUAGUGGCGGUCUCGCUGUAGCUUCCUCUGCGUAGUAGCACACCUCGCACUGGGAAACAGCGCGGCCACGCCGUUAAACCCCCAACUUCUGAACGUUUGACCUCGGAUCAGGUAGGAAUACCCGCUGAACUUAAGCAUAUCAAUAAGCGGAGGA